rnacentral:tRNA from 1 species
GGGGAUGUAGCUCAGUGGUAGAGUGCUUGCCUAGCAUGCAUGAGGCCCUAGCUUCAAUCCCCA